GACGAACGCUGGCGGCGUGCUUAACACAUGCAAGUCGAACGGAAAGGCCCUGCUUUUGUGGGGUGCUCGAGUGGCGAACGGGUGAGUAACACGUGAGUAACCUGCCCUUGACUUUGGGAUAACUUCAGGAAACUGGGGCUAAUACCGGAUAGGAGCUCCUGCUGCAUGGUGGGGGUUGGAAAGUUUCGGCGGUUGGGGAUGGACUCGCGGCUUAUCAGCUUGUUGGUGGGGUAGUGGCUUACCAAGGCUUUGACGGGUAGCCGGCCUGAGAGGGUGACCGGCCACAUUGGGACUGAGAUACGGCCCAGACUCCUACGGGAGGCAGCAGUGGGGAAUAUUGCACAAUGGGCGGAAGCCUGAUGCAGCAACGCCGCGUGCGGGAUGACGGCCUUCGGGUUGUAAACCGCUUUCGCCUGUGACGAAGCGUGAGUGACGGUAAUGGGUAAAGAAGCACCGGCUAACUACGUGCCAGCAGCCGCGGUGAUACGUAGGGUGCGAGCGUUGUCCGGAUUUAUUGGGCGUAAAGGGCUCGUAGGUGGUUGAUCGCGUCGGAAGUGUAAUCUUGGGGCUUAACCCUGAGCGUGCUUUCGAUACGGGUUGACUUGAGGAAGGUAGGGGAGAAUGGAAUUCCUGGUGGAGCGGUGGAAUGCGCAGAUAUCAGGAGGAACACCAGUGGCGAAGGCGGUUCUCUGGGCCUUUCCUGACGCUGAGGAGCGAAAGCGUGGGGAGCGAACAGGCUUAGAUACCCUGGUAGUCCACGCUGUAAACGGUGGGUACUAGGUGUGGGGUCCAUUCCACGGGUUCCGUGCCGUAGCUAACGCUUUAAGUACCCCGCCUGGGGAGUACGGCCGCAAGGCUAAAACUCAAAGGAAUUGACGGGGCCCCGCACAAGCGGCGGAGCAUGCGGAUUAAUUCGAUGCAACGCGUAGAACCUUACCUGGGUUUGACAUGGAUCGGGAGCGCUCAGAGAUGGGUGUGCCUCUUUUGGGGUCGGUUCACAGGUGGUGCAUGGCUGUCGUCAGCUCGUGUCGUGAGAUGUUGGGUUAAGUCCCGCAACGAGCGCAACCCUUGUUCACUGUUGCCAGCACGUUAUGGUGGGGACUCAGUGGAGACCGCCGGGGUCAACUCGGAGGAAGGUGGGGAUGACGUCAAGUCAUCAUGCCCCUUAUGUCCAGGGCUUCACGCAUGCUACAAUGGCUGGUACAGAGAGUGGCGAGCCUGUGAGGGUGAGCGAAUCUCGGAAAACCGGUCUCAGUUCGGAUUGGGGUCUGCAACUCGACCUCAUGAAGUCGGAGUCGCUAGUAAUCGCAGAUCAGCAACGCUGCGGUGAAUACGUUCCCGGGGCU
rnacentral:rRNA from 1 species